CCUACGGGUGGCAGCAGUGGGGAAUAUUGGGCAAUGGGCGCAAGCCUGACCCAGCAACGCCGCGUGAAGGAAGAAGGCUUUCGGGUUGUAAACUUCUUUUCUGAGGGACGAAGAAAGUGCCGGUACCUCAGGAAUAAGCCACGGCUAACUACGUGCCAGCAGCCGCGGUAAUACGGAGGUGGCAAGCGUUAUCCGGAUUUGUUGGGUGUACAGGGCGUGUAGGCGGGAAAGUAAGUCAGAUGUGAAAACUCAGGGCUCAACCCUGAGCCUGCAGUUGAAACUGUUUUUCUUGAGUGCUGGAGAGGCAAUCGGAAUUCGGGGUGUAGCGGUGAAAUGCGUAGAUAUACGGAGGAACACCAGUGGCGAAGGCGGAUUGCUGGACAGUAACUGACGCUGAGGCGCGAAAGCGUGGGGAGCAAACAGGAUUAGAUACCCGUGUAGUC
rnacentral:rRNA from 1 species